AUACGGAGGGUGCAAGCGUUAAUCGGAAUUACUGGGCGUAAAGGGUUCGUAGGCGGUUAUUUAAGUCAGAUGUGAAAGCCCCGGGCUCAACCUGGGGAUUGCAUCUGAUACUGGGUAACUAGAGUUUAAGAGAGGAGUGUGGAAUUUCCGGUGUAGCGGUGAAAUGCAUAGAGAUCGGAAGGAACAUCAGUGGCGAAGGCGGCACUCUGGCUUAAAACUGACGCUGAGGAACGAAAGCGUGGGUAGCAAACAGGAUUAGAAACCCUGGUAGUCC
rnacentral:rRNA from 1 species